rnacentral:rRNA from 1 species
CCUGGCUCAGGAUGAACGCUAGCUACAGGCUUAACACAUGCAAGUCGAGGGGCAUCAGGAAGAAAGCUUGCUUUCUUUGCUGGCGACCGGCGCACGGGUGAGUAACACGUAUCCAACCUGCCCUUUACUCGGGGAUAGCCUUUCGAAAGAAAGAUUAAUACCCGAUAGUAUAAUGAUUCCGCAUGGUUUCAUUAUUAAAGGAUUCCGGUAAAGGAUGGGGGUGCGUUCCAUUAGGUUGUUGGUGAGGUAACGGCUCACCAAGCCUUCGAUGGAUAGGGGUUCUGAGAGGAAGGUCCCCCACAUUGGAACUGAGACACGGUCCAAACUCCUACGGGAGGCAGCAGUGAGGAAUAUUGGUCAAUGGGCGCUAGCCUGAACCAGCCAAGUAGCGUGAAGGAUGAAGGCUCUAUGGGUCGUAAACUUCUUUUAUAUAAGAAUAAAGUGCAGUAUGUAUACUGUUUUGUAUGUAUUAUAUGAAUAAGGAUCGGCUAACUCCGUGCCAGCAGCCGCGGUAAUACGGAGGAUCCGAGCGUUAUCCGGAUUUAUUGGGUUUAAAGGGAGCGUAGGUGGACUGGUAAGUCAGUUGUGAAAGUUUGCGGCUCAACCGUAAAAUUGCAGUUGAUACUGUCAGUCUUGAGUACAGUAGAGGUGGGCGGAAUUCGUGGUGUAGCGGUGAAAUGCUUAGAUAUCACGAAGAACUCCGAUUGCGAAGGCAGCUCACUGGACUGCAACUGACACUGAUGCUCGAAAGUGUGGGUAUCAAACAGGAUUAGAUACCCUGGUAGUCCACACAGUAAACGAUGAAUACUCGCUGUUUGCGAUAUACAGUAAGCGGCCAAGCGAAAGCAUUAAGUAUUCCACCUGGGGAGUACGCCGGCAACGGUGAAACUCAAAGGAAUUGACGGGGGCCCGCACAAGCGGAGGAACAUGUGGUUUAAUUCGAUGAUACGCGAGGAACCUUACCCGGGCUUAAAUUGCAGUGGAAUGAUGUGGAAACAUGUCAGUGAGCAAUCACCGCUGUGAAGGUGCUGCAUGGUUGUCGUCAGCUCGUGCCGUGAGGUGUCGGCUUAAGUGCCAUAACGAGCGCAACCCUUAUCUUUAGUUACUAACAGGUCAUGCUGAGGACUCUAGAGAGACUGCCGUCGUAAGAUGUGAGGAAGGUGGGGAUGACGUCAAAUCAGCACGGCCCUUACGUCCGGGGCUACACACGUGUUACAAUGGGGGGUACAGAAGGCAGCUAGCGGGUGACCGUAUGCUAAUCCCAAAAUCCUCUCUCAGUUCGGAUCGAAGUCUGCAACCCGACUUCGUGAAGCUGGAUUCGCUAGUAAUCGCGCAUCAGCCACGGCGCGGUGAAUACGUUCCCGGGCCUUGUACACACCGCCC